GAUGAACGCUGGCGGCGUGCUUAACACAUGCAAGUCGAACGGAAAGGCCCAAGCUUGCUUGGGUACUCGAGUGGCGAACGGGUGAGUAACACGUGGGUGAUCUGCCCUGCACUUCGGGAUAAGCCUUGGAAACUGGGUCUAAUACCGGAUAGGACCACAUUUUGGAUGGUGUGGUGGAAAGUUUUUCGGUGUGGGAUGAGCUCGAGGCCUAUCAGCUUGUUGGUGGGGUAAUGGCCUACCAAGGCGUCGACGGGUAGCCGGCCUGAGAGGGUGUACGGCCACAUUGGGACUGAGAUACGGCCCAGAAUCCUACGGGAGGCAGCAGUGGGGAAUAUUGCACAAUGGGCGCAAGCAUGAUGCAGCGACGCCGCGUGGGGGAUGACGGCCUUCGGGUUGUAAACUCAUUUCGCUAGGGACGAAGCGCAAGUGACGGUACCUGGAGAAGAAGCACCGGCUAACUACGUG
rnacentral:rRNA from 1 species